AUUAAGGAAACUAGGCGGAGGGAAGAGGAGCCAGUUUGUUGGUGGGCCUUGAUCCCGGUGGGCUUUUGCAGCCCAAUCAGCUGCUAGGUUUGCCUGUCGCCGGAUGUGUCGAAGCGAAAGGAUAGGGCAUUGCGGAAUAAGAUCGCUGAGAAUCACGAAAAGAUGACGAUCCUUCCAUGGCGGCUGCUGUUUCGUCCGAACGAUCUCCACCAACAGCAAGCAAUCAGAUUCGAUCACAAAUUGCUGAAGAUGGAGUCCCUUCGGAUGAGCCGUUGGAGAGCAGAUAUAAGGGCAUAGAUCUCGGCUUGGAAUGCCGAUUGAGCAGGCACAGAUCAGGUAAGCACGUCUGUCAAAAUACUUUUGCUGUCUCUGUAAAUGCAAGCGAUGGAGCCUGUCUCCGAUGCUGGGUGAAAAGCCCCAUCAAUGUUACACUUGAUAAAACCCUCCUCUGGUGGUUUCCAUCCUUGCCCUAAACUGACCUGUGUGUUUUGAAUCUUUUGUGGCGAGGGUUGGAUAACCUUGAAGAUGGUACUUUGGGUAAGGGCAUUAGUGACAACUAGGAGAGGAUCCAGCGGAAUCUGACGAAAAACAGCGUUAUUGCGUUGUCGCCAGAUCUCCCACAGAAUAUGAGCGAUCGCUUCAAAAUUUGGAGACGCUUGUAGGUGGGAAACACGGUCAACAACCCAGGCAUCGAAUCGGCUAACUGAGGUACCAAAAGGUGUCUCUGUCCAAACAAGUUGAUCAUGAUGGAGAGACGGAUUGAUAGGAGUAUUGAGGAUGGCUGCACUAACCUGGACAUCGAAAAAUGAAGUAACAUAGGAAGACUUCCAUUCAGAGUGCUGGGAAUCAAUGAGAUCAGCAACUAGUUCUGGUUCUCCCUCCGCAGAAUGCUGAGAUCUUCUUUUCUAUCAAUCUGCAGAGAGACAACGGAAGCUUGAAGAUAGACAUGGCAUACUGCGGAUCCAUGAGAACAUCUCCCUCUUGGAUUGGCCCCAAUCCGAGGGAAUGCCCAGUGAUGCCGAUAGAAGAGUCCAGGGAGACCAUCAGGACCAGGAGACUUCGAAGCUCCCAACUGACAAGUUGCUUGGUAAAUCUCCUCCUCUAUUACCCGACUCAUCAAGUGGUUAUUCAUUUCAGGUGUUACCACUGGUGGACAUUGCUCUAAGAAAGGACGAAAAUCCCGAUAGCCCACAGACCUGUACAGCUGAGAGAAGAAUCCCUGAUUGAGAUUGCAAGUAAGAUAUGCGUUGAUGACAAUUGCUGAACCAGGCUCUGCUCCAGCUGGUUAAUCGGGUAGCAACUGCCUGUAACUUGGAAAGCAAUGAGAUGGUGGACGAGCUUGCAGCAACAAAGGACGGUGAUCCGAGCCAACAGGAGGUAGGGCAUAUACUUCUGCAAAAGGGUAAAUUCGCAACCCUUACUUUGGAGUUCUAGAAGGGCACAAUCAUUAAUUACAUUCCGAAAAGAGGUUGUUCGCGAAGUGGAUGCCGGUCUCUUGCCCAUCUUCUCCCAGGGAGAAAGAAAGUCGUUGAAAUCACCGAGACACAGCCAAGGUAAAUGAUUUGCAGCGUGGAUGAUUCUUAUGGUAUCCCAGAAGUCUUGACGGAGCUGAUAUAGUGGAGGAGCAUGCAAGCAAGUGAUAUGCAUAGAGGCUGUUGUCCUAGGAUCACGGGCGAUGAAAUCAACAAACUGAGCAUCCAUAUGUACAAGAGUAACUUCAAAAUUGUCAUUCCAAAACAGAGCAAGACCACCCUUAAAGCCAACUAGAUCCUUCACAAAAGAGCUACCAUCGCCUUUAAUGCUUGAAUUGUCAGGGGAUUGCCCAACCCCUGACAAUUCCAACUCAGGAGUUUCAUUGGGAACACGGUGGCUGUUGAGGGCCAGCCACCAAAGCCCGAAGAUCAGGGAGAGGUACCUCCAAAACUGGGGCAUCCAGAAGGAGGGACUCAUCAAAAACUGUAGAUGAGGGAAGUGUAACAUCAUAUGGUACUAAAUCUGUAGUGAUAGCAGUAGGAUUGGCAAUAUUCAAGAGUCUGGAAGUCUCUUGAUGUAUAACAGGAGUCGAAGUUGCAUCCACCGUGGCAGGGAUAGAAGGUAGAGCUAGGAGGGCAGGCUGUUUUGGAGGAGGAGUUUUAGGUACUGUCUCUUCCAUUGGCUCAACUGGAGCUUGAGGGUGGUAAAAAGCAUCCCAGUAAGGGCUAAAUUGUUUAAGCUCAGCUCUAAGCCAAGGUCCAUAGAUCAUCGUGUCCCGACCAUCAAAUUGGGCUUCAUCAUAAGGGACCUCCGGACAUGAAGCAGCAUAAUGACCGAGCCUUCCACAGGAGUAGCAAGAUGUCAGUUUUCACUUCCUGAACUUUACCUAGCUGGGAGACCGCUCUACGCAAAAUAGGAGGAGAAGUCCACUCCAAAGGCUUUCUUCAUCGCAACAUGAAAUGCUGAUACAUUCACAGAGGGAUUGGUAAAAACAUUACCCACCAGUAUAAGGCGACAAUCCUGCAGUUUGGCCGAUGCAGGGAGAUCAUCCCAAACCUCCAACUCUUGUUCUGAGCAUAAUCGACCAAGGCGAUUGCAUAGGGAAGCUAUUCUGGAGAUCGGCAACAUGCAAAGCAGAAAGAACUGGUAUUUGAGAGAGACGAAAGAAACAACGGAACGAGGGGAAGGUGAUGACUGGAAAGAAGGAAAGAAAGUGUGCAUGCGGAAGAGGUAAAGAGGAACAUAAACAUUUAGGGUAGAAAUUGCGAGGAGCACCAGUGGUUCAAAUAGAACGCAAAGAUCAGACGAAGAGCUGAGGAAGAUGAAGACAUGGCGAAAAACUCGAACAUUACGCGAGAGGAAACUCUAACAUGAACGAGAGGAGGAGCGAGAGAUUCUGGUUAGUAGAUUUAUCUCGCUCAAUACUUGAACCUUCAUUUUUUUCCGAAAAACAAAGGAGCCUCCCUUUUUUUUAGGGAGAAUGAACAGAUAGGUCUAAGCCAAAUAAAUUUCAAGUCUUUUGAAACUGAGACUCGAGCUGGCUGAUUCACCAACUUGGCCAAGCAACCGGCCGGUUCUAGCUGGUCGGUGGCUCCCCGAAUAAGACCGGUCCGACUGCACGAACCGGGGGCUUGAUCAUCACCAGAACCAAGAAGAAAGACCGCCAAUCCAGUGAUGUGACUGUCCGCCGAAUCACGAGAACUUUUCUCAAACGUUGGAAAACCGAAAAUGGAGGUGCGACAAAUUGCAAAGUCCCUGUGGGAGAGCGACGACGUUACGGCGGGAUUCCCCAAGCAGGACGCAACUGCACCGGGACGCGCCUCCCUCCCUCCCUACCUCCCUCCCUCCCUCCCUCCCCGGCGGGUCUUCCGGGGGUUUCUGCAGCUGGCAUCAUCGUCAGCCCUCCCACCAGGUCAAAGGUCAACUACCCCCGGUGCACACCUCCCUCGUUUUGCCGACCGGAGCUCUGUCGUUUUCCACAUUCCCCUCCUUGUCGUUUUCCCAUCUUUCCUGUUCCCGUGAAUGCCCCCCCUCUCCCUUGAGAAUCUCGAGGGGUCGUGAGGUUGCUCCGCAUGGAACUUGCGCCAUCUUUUUGCCCUAGUCCAGUUGAACCCUUCAAACCAACGAUGGUCAAGAAAGCGAGGCGACCUCAUGGAUGCUUGAAACUCUUGUCGUGAUAUUACUCCGUGUAACGAGUCAUCCUGGUGAUUGGAUUCGCGCGGGAGACUCCUUUUUUCUGGUGUUGAAUAUGAGCCGGUUAUUUAAAUUUUCGCUCGUAGUCAAUACAUCGAUUUUGCAAACUUGAUUUUGAAGCAUCGAAACAACCGUAGGUUUAGGGUGGAUGUUGAGGCUCAACCAACCGUUGGUUGCUAACUCACAAUGAGACAUAUGCAAGUUUCCAUCUCUUUGAGAACUUUUCA